rnacentral:tRNA from 1 species
GGGCCUACUCCAAGAAGGAAUAUUUGACCGAUAAUCAAAUAGAAGAGGUUUAAAUCCCCUUAGACCCU